UUUUUUUUUUUGAGACGGAGUUUCACUCUCGCCCACGCUGGAUUGCAGUGGCGCAAUCUCGGCUCACUGCAACCUCCACCUCCCGGGUUCAAGUGAUUCUCCUGCCUCAGCCUCCCGAGUAGCUGGGAUCACAGGUGCCCACCACCACGUCCAGCUAAUUUUUGUGUUUUUAGUAGAGACGGCGUCUCGCUAUGUUGGCCAGGCUGGUCUUGAACUCCUGACCUCGGGUGAUCCACCCACCUUGGCCUCCGAAAGUGCUGGGAAUUACAGGCAUGAGCCACCGCACCCUGCCAGGAGUUUUAGGCUGCAGUGAACCAUGAUCAUGCCACUGCACUACAGCCUGGGUAACAGAGCAAGACCCUGUGUCUUUUAAAAAAAAAAACAAAAAAGCUGAACUCUUAGUCUUUGCUCCUUUAAGGAACUCAGAUAAUUAAGCUGUAAUCACUAUGUUCCUUUUCCAACAGCCCUGGAAGAUCAUUCUGAGUUACAUAAAUGUAGGAAUAUGAGUACCAAAAACAAAAGUCACUGGAGCUUCAAACACUAGACAACACCCCCACCCCUUGUCCGUUCAAAGCUUGCACCUCUGGAUGCUGACAUAAAUUCCUAAUACUGGCAGUAGUUUACUGUCCUUAGAGGAUCUUCCAUAGUCUUUGAAGCUUGAUUAAGUUGUACUAUCUGGAUGUAAAAAUAAAUAUAAAUUUUGUGUUAUUUACACUGAAGGCACUAAAAGCUAGCAAGACCAAACAAAAAUAAUAAAAUCACUGGAGAAAAAAUUACCUGUAAGUUACCUCAGCAUACUUUUUAAACACCCACAGUACAUUUAGUAAAAUAAAACCUAGUCACACUAGCUUACUUCAGAAU
rnacentral:lncRNA from 10 species